AAAUGUAGAUAUCUUCUCAGACGAUGCAUAUACCGUGGGAUGAAGCUGGGUGUUUAUGCCUUGUGGGUGACUUGUUUAAUUAUGAUGCACCUGGAAUGGAGCCAUCUGGCAUUGAGGAUUUAGAGCAUUUUCUAUCUAACUCUUCCAUCCAUGAUACUAGCUUAUUAAAUGGAGAUAAUAAUAUAAUGGUAGAUGCAGACCACCUUGAUUCUCACUCAGAGAUUAACAGAUGGUUGGUUUGAGGAAGAUGUUAAUGCAUAUUGCUUUUAUUCUAGGGCACAUUACAAGAAAGGAGAUCAGGUAUUACAUUAUUUCUAGAAAUUUAAAAUGGCAUGUAUAUUACAUGCCUUCAAUGCCUUCAUUUUAUCAUUUGGUCACAUUUGAACUUUAAAAAAUGUAGAUAUCUUCUCAGACGAUGCAUAUACCGUGGGAUGAAGCUGGGUGUUUAUGCCUUGUGGGUGACUUGUUUAAUUAUGAUGCACCUGGAAUGGAGCCAUCUGGCAUUGAGGAUUUAGAGCAUUUUCUAUCUAACUCUUCCAUCCAUGAUACUAGCUUAUUAAAUGGAGAUAAUAAUAUAAUGGUAGAUGCAGACCACCUUGAUUCUCACUCAGAGAUUAACAGAUGGUUGGUUUGAGGAAGAUGUUAAUGCAUAUUGCUUUUAUUCUAGGGCACAUUACAAGAAAGGAGAUCAGGU
rnacentral:lncRNA from 1 species